GAAGCUGGCUAGACAGUCGCUGCGAGCCUUGUGCUCGGAGAGGAAAGUCCGGGCUCCACAGAGCAGAAUGCCGGUUAAUGGCCGGACGCCGUGAGGCGAUGGAAAGUGCAACAGAGAAUAGACCGCCGAUGAGCUGAUUUCGGUCAGAGACAGGUAAGGGUGAAACGGUGGGGUAAGAGCCCACCGCGCUGCCGGUAACGGGAGUGGCACGGUAAACCCCAUUCGGAGCAAGAUCAAAUAGGCUGACUAUGACGUUGCUCGCGUCGUCAGCGGGUAGAUUGCUUGAGCGUCAGGUAACGAAACGCCUAGAGGAAUGACUGUCCACGACAGAACCCGGCUUAUCGGCCAGCUUCACCU
rfam:Ferriphaselus amnicola DNA, contig: contig00002, strain: OYT1.